GAUGAACGCUGGCGGCGUGCCUAAUACAUGCAAGUCGAGCGAACGGACGAGAAGCUUGCUUCUCUGAUGUUAGCGGCGGACGGGUGAGUAACACGUGGAUAACCUACCUAUAAGACUGGGAUAACUUCGGGAAACCGGAGCUAAUACCGGAUGAUAUUUUGAACCGCAUGGUUCAAAAGUGAAAGACGGUCUUUCUGUCACUUAUAGAUGGAUCAGCGCUGCAUUAGCUAGUUGGUAAGGUAACGGCUUACCAAGGCAACGAUGCAUAGCCGACCUGAGAGGGUGAUCGGCCACACUGGAACUGAGACACGGUCCAGACUCCUACGGGAGGCAGCAGUAGGGAAUCUUCCGCAAUGGGCGAAAGCCUGACGGAGCAACGCCGCGUGAGUGAUGAAGGUCUUCGGAUCGUAAAACUCUGUUAUUAGGGAAGAACAUAUGUGUAAGUAACUGUGCACAUCUUGACGGUACCUAAUCAGAAAGCCACGGCUAACUACGUG
rnacentral:rRNA from 1 species